UCCUGGAUAGCUCAGUCAAUAGAGCAUGGGACUCCUAAUCUCAGGGUUAGGGGUUCAAGCCCCACGUUGGACU